GAGGAUAAUUAAGUCAAAUCACAUUCACUGCUGAAAAAUAGAAGAAAACCCAAAACUUAAAUUAAAUUUUUUAACAAAGGGUUGAAGCAUAAUUGAGCAUAACCCAUCAUUCAGAAGAUCAUCUAGCCAAGGUCUCUCCCUUCCCGACCCCAUCCUUCCCUCUCCCCAUCCCUCAUCCGUCAUUCCAUCGUUCCCUCUACAUUGUGCGAUGGUAUGAGUUGUGGACCCUCCAACUGAGGCAGUGGCAUAGCACCGUGUGACGAUUAGGUCAUCGGACUUUGCAAUUGAGGUAAAAAAUCACUCUCUCUCUCUCUCUCUCUCCUCAUUGGGAAGGCUGUAAUCGGACUGUAUCCCAUGUAUGACCUGCCUACACCACCUGAUCGGACCAAAUCAGGCCCCUCCUCAUCAUCCUCGCAGGUGAUCUCCGACAUCUCGCCGACCGGCAACUCUUUUUCCCCUGUCAUGAUACCCCCACCUCUCCACGCCUCUAAUAACCUCUCAUCUUCUUUGGUUCUUCACGAUCAGUCUCGCGUAGUUCCAGUUCAAGUUUCCAUGUCGCCUCUUCGUAGGCCUGCGAUUGGUGAUGACAUGCCCCUUGGAAGCUACAACCCUUCUGAGUCGCUUCUGGGUACCUCUCCUUCUCCUUCCAGUAAGCUUGAUGAUGGGGAUUUCUUUGAAGAGGAUGCUUCAACUGGUUGGAUUGUUGGGGGUAACUCUGGAAAGUUCGCAUCGUCUUUUCCCAGUGGUGGGUUCGAUUCCACGGCCACCAAAUCGGGUAAUUUUCCACCGGCAAGUAAUCUGACCACUGAUACAGUGGUGAAGAUGCCUCAUGUUAUGUAAAUUCUCCUUUGUGUUAUAGCUUUUUUCUCUUUCUUUCUUUCUUGUAUUUAAUUUAAUUAGAGGAAGAAUGAACCCAACUAAACCAUGCCCGGAAUGUUAUUUGCUUGGUUUUCCAUCAAUGUGUGUGAUUGUGAAUAUAACAUCUUUCCAAAAAUCAUCUACCCAACUAUAGCUCUUAGAAAGCAGAACAAAUUGAAAAAAUGGCAGAAGCAGGUGAGAAAGCAGAACUAGCUUUAUAUUGUCGAAGUUAGUUCUGCUUCAUAGGAAGUGAAGGCUUGAGCUAGGUGAGCCAGGAGUUGUUAGACUGCCACUUUACAUGGGGUUUUACUUUAUAUUGUCGAAGUUUUUAUUUUUGCUCUCUCCUUUACGGUUGUGUCUUACCCAUCCCUUGGCUCUACUUUCACAUUACUCUAUUUUUCUAAACAUGUAAUGUGCUUCGUACCCAUGUAGAAAAUUGUAUAUGAGUUGCUGUUGUUUUUUGACACAUUGCCAUACAUAAUGACAUGGGAAAGUAGCAUCAUCACUUUUUUUAAAGUUGUCAUGAAGCUCAGGAGUAAAUAGCCCCUUGGAACGUGCAUUUGACAACUACCUGAAUGACAGUGAGAGUUGCAUGGGUUCUUUUCCUUAUUCAACAGUAGAUACCAGUCUAAGCCAGAGCAGUCUUCCCAAUUCUCACUCACCUGUCCAACUGAGGACAUUGGUUUAAUUGUGAAUCUGCAAGAGCUUUUUUUCCCUUCAUGGCUGGGAUUCAGAAUGAGAUGAUUUGUUAUGAAAUAUAUCUAAUGCUGGAGAGUGAAGAGUUCUGAAGUUUGUGGUUUUAAUUGUAUGUAGAUACGAAGAGCCAAAACUUGCUUUUUUGGCUUAAUUUUGGUUUCUUACAAGUUUGUUUAAUUGUCUAUCUUAUGAACCUUUUUUUUUUUUUUUUGGUAAGGCUGUCUUAUGAACCUUAGAGUAUGUGAUUCUGAUUUGAUUUGGGAGAGUCAAGACAUAUUUUUAAUUAAGAGUACAGUAUGUGAAAGGGAUUGUAGUUGAUUGUUGUGUAGAUGGUUGAUGCUCAGUUUUGUUACUGAUGCCACUCUA